rnacentral:lncRNA from 1 species
CUAGUUGUUGAAUCUCACUGAAAGUGCCUUAAUUUAUAUGUUUGUUACUGAAUUGAAUGCUCGUAACGUAGCGUCUUGAUGAGCUGAUCUGAACGAAUCAUAUGCCAUGUGUGGUGAGUGUUUGUAUGUAGUCUAUGUAUGGUACUUGUGUCUAGAACUUGCCCGCUAUGUAAGUUGAAGAGAAAUCUUAGGUCAUGCUCGGUUUGAAAAAUGAUUUUAGGCUUUCUUUGACCUUUUUGAGCUUAAUUGCUGAUCACAAAUAAAAUUUGUCCCUAGUUAACCCUUUUGAACCUCUAGACUUUUGUUUGGCACCCGCAUUACAAGCCUAUACCUUUUUGUUCUUAAUUGACAUUGUUUUGAUACUUUUACCUCAUAAAGCACUUUAACUGUGAGGGGAGAGCUAAAAUAAGUAAGAAAGAAAUAAGUAUGGGGUGGCUUUUGAGUGGAAUCAAUGAAAGGAAGAAGGUGCACUUGUUUUGUAAACAAAUACACCACUAGCGGAAAUUGAGUGACAAGAAGAAUAAACUGAAAAAAGAGAUGAAUACAUAGGGUAAAACUUACUUUUG